rnacentral:misc_RNA from 1 species
AACGCACAUUGCGCCUACCGGUAUUCCGGUAGGCAUACCUGUUUGAGCGUCAGCAAAACACUCCUCGGCGACGGUUUUUCGAAGCCCUCGCCGGUCAUGGGUCAGGAGGGAGAUGUUAAUCUCCCUCCGGCUUAAAAUUAUACAGGCGACCGCAAGCUGCUUCCGGCUAGGUAUAUGGAUUGGUGUUUACAUGUUUUCCGUUGCCUGCAGGGUCUUGCUUCCGCGGCGUUAAACGGCAGGUCUCCCUCGCGGGUGGCUGUAGUUUGACCUCAGAUCAGGUAAGGAUACCCGCUGAACUUAA